UCUAUAGCUCAACCGGACAGAGCGACAGUUUCCUAAACUGCAGGUUGGGGGUUCGAUUCCCUCUAGGCG
rnacentral:tRNA from 1 species